rnacentral:rRNA from 1 species
UACGGAGGAUGCAAGCGUUAUCCGGAUUUAUUGGGUUUAAAGGGUGCGCAGGCGGGAGAUUAAGUCGGCAGUGAAAUUUUGCAGCUCAACUGUAAAAGUGCCUUCGAAACUGGUUUCCUUGAGUGUGGAUGAAGUAGGCGGAAUUUGUGGUGUAGCGGUGAAAUGCAUAGAUAUCACGAGGAACUCCGAUUGCGCAGGCAGCUUACUAAGCCAUAACUGACGCUCAAGCACGAAGGCGUGGGGAUCAAACAGGAUUAGA